rnacentral:rRNA from 1 species
CAGUCGCCGCGGUAAUACGGAGGGGGCUAGCGUUGUUCGGAAUUACUGGGCGUAAAGCGUGCGUAGGCGGUUCGUUAAGUCUGUUGUGAAAGCCCCGGGCUCAACCCAGAGUCUGCAGGCGAAACUGUCGGGCUUGAGAAUGGGAGAGGUGAGUGGAAUUUCCGGUGUAGCGGUGAAAUGCGUAGAUAUCGGAAGGAACACCUGUGGCGAAAGCGGCUCACUGGACAAUAACUGACGCUGAUGCACGAAAGCUAGGGGAGCAAACAGGAUUAGAUACCCCCGUAGUCCCUGUCUCUUAUAC